GACGUAGGGCGCGAGCGUUUGUCCGGAUUUAUUGGGCGUAAAGGGCUCGUAGGCGGUCUGUUGCGUCGGGAGUGAAAACUUACAGCUUAACUGUGAGCGUGCUUUCGAUACGGGCAGACUUGAGGCAUUCAGGGGAGAACGGAAUUCCUGGUGUAGCGGUGAAAUGCGUAGAGAUCAGGAAGAACAUCGGUGGCGAAGGCGGAUCUCUGGGUCAUUACUGACGCUGAGGAGCGAAAGCGUGGGGAGCGAACAGG
rnacentral:rRNA from 1 species